rnacentral:rRNA from 1 species
AGUCGAGCGAACAGACGAGGAGCUUGCUCCUCUGACGUUAGCGGCGGACGGGUGAGUAGCACGUGGAUAACCUACCUAUAAGACUGGGAUAGCUUCGGGAAACCGGAGCUAAUACCGGAUAAUAUAUUGAACCGCAUGGUCCAAUAGUGAAAGACGGUUUUGCUGUCACUUAUAGAUGGAUCCGCGCCGCAUUAGCUAGUUGGUAAGGUAACGGCUUACCAAGACAACGAUGCGUAGCCGACCUGAGAGGGUGAUCGGCCACACUGGAACUGAGACACGGUCCAGACUCCUACGGGAGGCAGCAGUAGGGAAUCUUCCGCAAUGGGCGAAAGCCUGACGGAGCAACGCCGCGUGAGUGAUGAAGGUCUUCGGAUCGUAAAACUCUGCUACUAGGGAAGAACAAAUGUGUAAGUAACUAUGCACGUCUUGACGGUACCUAAUCAGAAAGCCACGGCUAACUACGUGCCAGCAGCCGCGGUAAUACGUAGGUGGCAAGCGUUAUCCGGAAUUAUUGGGCGUAAAGCGCGCGUAGGUGGUUUUUUAAGUCUGAUAUGAAAGCCCACGGCUCAACCGUGGAGGGUCAUUGGAAACUGGAAAACUUGAGUGCAGAAGAGGAAAGUGGAAUUCCAUGUGUAGCGGUGAAAUGCGCAGAGAUAUGGAGGAACACCAGUGGCGAAGGCGACUUUCUGGUCUGUAACUGACGCUGAUGUGCGAAAGCGUGGAGAUCAAACAGGAUUAGAUACCCUGGUAGUCCACGCCGUAAACGAUGAGUGCUAAGUGU